GAUGAACGCUGGCGGCGUGCUUAACACAUGCAAGUCGAACGGAGCUUAAGAAGGAAGCUUGCUUUCAUUUUAAGCUUAGUGGCGGACGGGUGAGUAACGCGUGAGCAACCUGCCCUCGAGUGGGGAAUAAUAUCGAGAAAUCGGUGCUAAUACCGCAUAACAUCGGAAAUUCGCAUGUUUUUCCGAUCAAAGGAUUUAUUCGCAUUUAGGAUGGGCUCGCGUCCGAUUAUUCUAGUUGGUGAGGUAACGGCCCACCAAGGCGACGAUCGGUAGCCGAACUGAGAGGUUGAUCGGCCACAUUGGGACUGAGACACGGCCCAGACUCCUACGGGAGGCAGCAGUGGGGAAUAUUGGGCAAUGGGCGCAAGCCUGACCCAGCAACGCCGCGUGAAGGAUUGAAGGUCUUCGGAUUGUAAACUUCUUUGAUUGGGGAAGAAUAAAUGACCUACCCAAAGAACAAGCCACGGCUAACUACGUGCCAGCAGCCGCGGGUAUACGUAGUGGCAGCGUUAUCCGGGAUUUACUGGGGUGUAAAGGGCGUGUAGCGUUUCCGCAGUCAGAGUGAAAUUCCGGCUACCUCGGCGCUGCCUCUGAACUGCGAACUUGAUGCUGCAGGGCAUAGCGGAAUUUUCUUA
rnacentral:rRNA from 1 species